GACGAACGCUGGCGGCGUGCCUAAUACAUGCAAGUAGAACGCUGAAGGAGGAGCUUGCUUCUCUGGAUGAGUUGCGAACGGGUGAGUAACGUGUAGGUAACCUGCCUGGUAGCGGGGGAUAACUAUUGGAAACGAUAGCUAAUACCGCAUAAGAGUAGAUGUCGCAUGACAUUUGCUUAAAAGGUGCAAUUGCAUCACUACCAGAUGGACCUGCGUUGUAUUAGCUAGUUGGUGAGGUAACGGCUCACCAAGGCAACGAUCCAUAGCCGACCUGAGAGGGUGAUCGGCCACACUGGGACUGAGACACGGCCCAGACUCCUACGGGAGGCAGCAGUAGGGAAUCUUCGGCAAUGGACGGAAGUCUGACCGAGCAACGCCGCGUGAGUGAAGAAGGUUUUCGGAUCGUAAAGCUCUGUUGUAAGAGAAGAACGAGUGUGAGAGUGGAAAGUUCACACUGUGACGGUAUCUUACCAGAAAGGGACGGCUAACUACGUG
rnacentral:rRNA from 1 species